AAACAUGUCAGUGAGCAAUCACCGCUGUGAAGGUGCUGCAUGGUUGUCGUCAGCUCGUGCCGUGAGGUGUCGGCUUAAGUGCCAUAACGAGCGCAACCCUUAUCUUCAGUUACUAACAGGUCAUGCUGAGGACUCUGGAGAGACUGCCGUCGUAAGAUGUGAGGAAGGUGGGGAUGACGUCAAAUCAGCACGGCCCUUACGUCCGGGGCUACACACGUGUUACAAUGGGGGGUACAGAAGGCAGCUAGCGGGUGACCGUAUGCUAAUCCCAAAAUCCUCUCUCAGUUCGGAUCGAAGUCUGCAACCCGACUUCGUGAAGCUGGAUUCGCUAGUAAUCGCGCAUCAGCCACGGCGCGGUGAAUACGUUCCCGGGUCUUGUACA
rnacentral:rRNA from 1 species